rnacentral:rRNA from 1 species
CUUUACUGCAGCUUUGCAGUGGCAUUAGGAGAGGGCUGUGUAGGAUAGGUGGGAGGCUUUGAAGCAUGGGCGCUAGCUUGUGUGGAGCCAACCUUGAAAUACCACCCUGACCUCUUCUGAUGUCUAACCACGGCCGGUCAUCCCGGUCUGGGACCCUGCAUGGUGGGCAGUUUGACUGGGGCGGUCGCCUCCCAAACAGUAACGGAGGCGCGCGAUGGUGGGCUCAAGCCGGUCGGACAUCGGCUGUUGAGUGCAAUGGCAUAAGCCCGCCUGACUGCGAGAGUGACAGCUCGAGCAGAGACGAAAGUCGGCCAUAGUGAUCCGGUGGUCCCGCGUGGAAGGGCCAUCGCUCAACGGAUAAAAGGUA